UCACAUGUUGAUAUUAUCUAUGUUUAAUUGUGUUUUUAUUUAUUUUGUUAAAUAUUUCCAAAUUACAUCUUGUUUGAGCUGUACUCAAGGGAGUUGUGGGACACACGUGGCCUGUGAGAUCCGGGUUUGACACUUCUGGACCCAGAUGACCUCUUGUGACCCUUCUGGCUCCAAAUCUGACCCCAUGUAUCAGCGAAAUGUCCAAAACCUGGGUUUUCCUGGAGAGGCCAAGACCCACCCUCCGUCUCCUACGUCAGUCAGUCAGCGAGCUGUUGCUAAGCACUGACUGUGCCACAAACUGGAGGAUCAUGGCAAUUACCGAGCACAAGCAGCCAACCAAAGGAACCAAGAAGAAAGUGGUUGAUCCAUUAUUAAAAAAAAAAAAAAAAAAAAAAAAAAAAAGAUGGGUAGAAUGUGAAGGCACCAGCUAUGUUUAUUGGCAAGACACCAGACAGAACUAAAGGAAUGAAAAUUGCCUCUACUGGUCUCAAGGUGGCAUGGGCAUCGUAACCCCCAAACUCAGGCAAACUGUAAGCAGGGAAAUUCCUUUGCUCCCUUCUGUCCUUGUGACUCCUAACCCAAUCACAUCUGAUUGCUUCCGUAAGACCCUGAGAUGAUUAUCAAGCUUGGACCAUCCCUUAGAUUUGAGAUGGACAGAGAGAUGCAUCUCCAGGCUACACCUUGAUGCCGUCGGGUUGUAUCUCAGACAUCCAUCUGUCCCCCAAACUAUGAGAGCCACCCCCUAUGUCUCCAGGCAUACCCUGGUCAGAUGACCAACCCCCCCACCGAGAAUGCCUGAGUGUUUACCACUCUAGAAUCACAUCCACACCAUGACACAACAUCACGUCCUCACUGUUGUAAAAAGCAUAUAAUCCCCAGAAUUGAUGGAUUCUGGGAGCAGCCUUUCAUCUUGCUAUCUUCCUGGCCUGAUUCAAUAUUACUUUCUAAAUUAAUAAAUUUCUCUUUUUAUUUUUAAGCCAA